UGCAAGUCGAGCGGUAACAGGAAUUAGCUUGCUAAUUUGCUGACGAGCGGCGGACGGGUGAGUAACGCGUAGGAAUCUGCCUGGUAGUGGGGGACAACAUGUGGAAACGCAUGCUAAUACCGCAUACGCCCUACGGGGGAAAGGAGGGGAUCUUCGGACCUUUCGCUAUCAGAUGAGCCUGCGUGAGAUUAGCUAGUUGGUGGGGUAAAGGCUCACCAAGGCGACGAUCUCUAGCUGGUCUGAGAGGAUGAUCAGCCACACUGGGACUGAGACACGGCCCAGACUCCUACGGGAGGCAGCAGUGGGGAAUAUUGGACAAUGGGCGCAAGCCUGAUCCAGCCAUGCCGCGUGUGUGAAGAAGGCCUUCGGGUUGUAAAGCACUUUCAGAGGUGAGGAAGGGUGUGCCGUUAAUACCGGUAUGCUUUGACGUUAGCCUCAGAAGAAGCACCGGCUAACUCUGUGCCAGCAGCCGCGGUAAUACAGAGGGUGCGAGCGUUAAUCGGAAUUACUGGGCGUAAAGCGCGCGUAGGUGGUUUGUUAAGUCGGAUGUGAAAGCCCAGGGCUCAACCUUGGAAUUGCACCCGAUACUGGCAAGCUAGAGUACGGUAGAGGGGUGUGGAAUUUCCUGUGUAGCGGUGAAAUGCGUAGAUAUAGGAAGGAACAUCAGUGGCGAAGCGACACCCUGGACCGAUACUGACACUGAGUGCGAAAGCGUGGGGAGCAAACAGGAUUAGAUACCC
rnacentral:rRNA from 1 species